rnacentral:misc_RNA from 1 species
GAUGAAGAACGCAGCGAAAUGCGAUAAGUAAUGUGAAUUGCAGAAUUCAGUGAACCAUCGAAUCUUUGAACGCACAUUGCGCCCGGCAGUAAUCUGCCGGGCAUGCCUGUCCGAGCGUCAUUUCUGCCCUCGAGCGAGUCCAGCAUCUAGGUGCUGGGCCCGCCCGGCGUUGUGGCACUACGGGAAGCCCUGUGCUGUCCCCCGUAGGCCCCGAAAUGAAGUGGCGGUCCUGCCGCGGCGCCCCCUGCGUAGUAUAACAGCUCGCUUCGGGACCCGGUGGAGGCCUGCCGUCAAACCUUACUCUCUAAGUUUGACCUCGGAUCAGGUAGGGUUACCCGCUGAACUUAAGCAUAUCAAUAAGCGGAGGA